rnacentral:rRNA from 1 species
UGGCGAAUGAACGGGACAGCCCAUCGCCGAACUGCUGGUCGUCUAGGCCAUGCGGAAUGUGGCGUUUGGAAGGGUCUCUUCCAAGGCUCAGACGCCUGUCAAAGUCCAACUUGACAGUGGCCACAGCCCAUAGAGGGUGAUAGGCCCGUAAGGCGGUUGUCUGGCUUUGCUGACCUCUUCCCAGAGUCGGGUUGCUUGAGAGUGCAGCCCAAAGCGCGAGGUAAACUCCUCGUAAGGCUAAAUAUGACCCCAAGACCGAUAGAAAACAAGUACAGUGAUGGAAAUUUGAAAAGAACUUUGAAGAGAGAGUUAAGAGUACGUGAAACUGUAUGGUAGUAAACGAAGCCUUCCUCGAAGUUUGCCGGGUGGUGUCAGCCUAGGAGCCGGGCAGCCUUUCGUGUCUGAUCAGCAAUGACUGGCGCGGGAGUGCUUGCUUGGUUCACGGGUGCAUCUCCACCUGGCGUUACGCUAGGAACUGUUGGGACUGGACCGAAGGCCUGGGAUGAAGUUUUCUCUUCGGAGUCAGCUCCCGGUGUCCUGGCUUCGGACCCGACAGGCAUGUGGCCAACUUGUACAGCAAGCAACCCUUCUGUUGCGGUUGGCCGUUCCCUAGCGAGUAGGUCGGUGGAGGCUUCGACCCGUCUUGAAACACGGACC